rnacentral:rRNA from 1 species
GAUGAACGCUGGCGGCGUGCCUAAUACAUGCAAGUCGAACGAAGGUAGCAAUACCUUAGUGGCGAACGGGUGAGUAACACGUAGGUAACCUGCCUUUCAGUUGGGGAUAACCGAGGGAAACUUUGGCUAAUACCGAAUUCGUGCUUCGAAGGCAUCUUUGGAGCAUAAAAGGGGGCCUUUAAAGCCUCGCUGAUUGAUGGACCUGCGGCGCAUUAGUUAGUUGGUGAGAUAACAGCCCACCAAGACGAGGAUGCGUAGCCGACCUGAGAGGGUGAACGGCCACACUGGAACUGAGACACGGUCCAGACUCCUACGGGAGGCAGCAGUAGGGAGUUUUCGGCAAUGGGGGAAACCCUGACCGAGCAACGCCGCGUGAGUGAUGAAGGUCUUCGGAUUGUAAAGCUCUGUUAUAAGGGAAGAACGGCAGCUAGAGGAAAUGCUAGCUGUUUGACGGUACUUUAUGAGAAAGCCACGGCUAACUACGUG